rnacentral:rRNA from 1 species
CCCUUAGAUGUUCUGGGCUGCACGCGCGCUACACUGACACUAUCAACGAGUGCUCCUGGUUUGAAAGGAUCGGGUAAUCUUUUGAAAUGGUGUCGUGAUGGGGAUAGAUCAUUGCAAUUAUUAAUCUUCAACGAGGAAUGCCUAGUAAGCGCAAGUCAUCAGCUUGCGUUGAUUACGUCCCUGCCCUUUGUACACACCGCCCGUCGCUCCUACCGAUUGAAUGGUCCGGUGAAGCGUUUGGACUAUGGUUUUCUGAUGGUCCGCCGUUGGAUUACCGUGGGAAGUUCGUUAAACCUUAUCAUUUAGAGGAAGGAGAAGUCGUAACA